CAGCCGCCGCGGGAAUACGAAGGGUGCAAGUGUUAAUCGGAAUUACUGGGCGUAAAGCGUGCGUAGGUGGUGGUUUAAGUCCGUUGUGAAAGCCCUGGGCUCAACCUGGGAAUUGCAGUGGAUACUGGGUCACUAGAGUGUGGUAGAGGAUAGUGGAAUUUCCGGUGUAGCAGUGAAAUGCGUAGAGAUCGGAAGGAACAUCUGUGGCGAAGGCGACUAUCUGGGCCAACACUGACACUGAGGCACGAAAGCGUGGGGAGCAAACAGGAUUAGAUACCCCCGUAGUCCCUGUCUCUUAUAC
rnacentral:rRNA from 1 species